rnacentral:rRNA from 1 species
CGCGCAGGCUGUAGAUCAAGUCAGCUGUGAAAUGUCUGGGCUUAACCCGGGCAUGCGGUUGAAACUGAUGUACUGGAGUGCUGUAGAGGCAAGUGGAAUUCCCAGUGUAGCGGUGAAAUGCGUAGAUAUUGGGAAGAACACCGGUGGCGAAGGCGACUUGCUGGGCAGCAACUGACGCUGAGGCGCGAAAGCCAGGGAGCAAACGG